AGUGAACGCUGGCGGUAGGCCUAACACAUGCAAGUCGAACGGCAGCACAGUAAGAGCUUGCUCUUACGGGUGGCGAGUGGCGGACGGGUGAGGAAUACAUCGGAAUCUACUUUUUCGUGGGGGAUAACGUAGGGAAACUUACGCUAAUACCGCAUACGACCUACGGGUGAAAGCAGGGGAUCUUCGCACCUUGCGCGAUUGAAUGAGCCGAUGUCGGAUUAGCUAGUUGGCGGGGUAAAGGCCCACCAAGGCGACGAUCCGUAGCUGGUCUGAGAGGAUGAUCAGCCACACUGGAACUGGGACACGGUCCAGACUCCUACGGGAGGCAGCAGUGGGGAAUAUUGGGCAAUGGGCGCAAGCCUGAUCCAGCCAUACCGCGUGGGUGAAGAAGGCCUUCGGGUUGUAAAGCCCUUUUGUUGGGAAAGAAAAGCAGCAGGUUAAUACCCCGCUGUUCUGACGGUACCCAAAGAAUAAGCACCGGCUAACUUCGUG
rnacentral:rRNA from 1 species